rnacentral:rRNA from 1 species
CUUAAAACAUGCAAGUCGAACGUGAAGCCCGGGCUUGCCCGGGUGGAAAGUGGCGAACGGGUGCGUAACACGUGAGCAACCUGCCCCGAAGACUGGGAUAACACCGGGAAACCGGUGCUAAUACCGGAUGCCUUCACCAUGUCGCAUGGCGAGGUGAAGAAAUGGAUUCCGCUUCGGGAUGGGCUCGCGGCCUAUCAGCUUGUUGGUGGGGUAAUGGCCUACCAAGGCAACGACGGGUAGCUGGUCUGAGAGGAUGUCCAGCCACACUGGGACUGAGACACGGCCCAGACUCCUACGGGAGGCAGCAGUUAGGAAUCUUGCGCAAUGGGCGAAAGCCUGACGCAGCGAUGCCGCGUGCGGGAUGAAGGCCUUCGGGUCGUAAACCGCUUUCAGCAGGGACGAUCGUGACGGUACCUGCAGAAGAAGCCCCGGCCAACUACGUGCCAGCAGCCGCGGUAAUACGUAGGGGGCGAGCGUUGUCCGGAUUUAUUGGGCGUAAAGAGCUCGUAGGCGGUUUGGUAAGUCGGGUGUGAAAUCUCCACGCUCAACGUGGAGGGGCCACUCGAUACUGCC